AGAACGAACGCUGGCGGCAGGCCUCAAACAUGCAAGUCUAGGGGGGCGUAGCAAUACGUCACCGGCGGACGGGUGCGUAACACGUGGGAAUGUACUUACUGGUUCGGAACAACUCAGGGAAACUUGAGCUAAUACCGAAUGUGCCCGAAAGGGGAAAGAUUUAUCGCCAGUAAAUCAGCCCGCGUCCGAUUAGCUAGUUGGCGGGGUAAAGGCCCACCAAGGCGACGAUCGGUAGCUGUUCUGAGAGGAAGAUCAGCCACACUGGGACUGAGACACGGCCCAGACUCCUACGGGAGGCAGCAGUUGGGAAUCUUGGACAAUGGGGAACCCUGAUCCAGCCAUGCCGCGUGAGUGAUGAAGGCCUUCGGGUUGUAAAACUCUUUCGACGGGGACGAUAAUGACGGUACCCGUAGAAGAAGCUCCGGCUAACUUCGUGCCAGCAGCCGC
rnacentral:rRNA from 1 species